rnacentral:rRNA from 1 species
CGGACGGGAUUGGAGAGCUUGCUUUCCAUGAGAGUGGCGCACGGGUGCGUAACACGUAUGUAGCCUACCCUUGUCAGGGGGAUAGCCUCUCGAAAGAGAGAUUAAGACCGCAUAACAUUAUAAUGUGGCAUCACAAAGUAAUCAAAUAUUUAUAGGACAAGGAUGGGCAUGCGGAACAUUAGCUAGUUGGUAAGGUAACGGCUUACCAAGGCUACGAUGUUUAGGGGAUCUGAGAGGAUGACCCCCCACACUGGUACUGAGACACGGACCAGACUCCUACGGGAGGCAGCAGUAAGGAAUAUUGGUCAAUGGGCGGAAGCCUGAACCAGCCAUGCCGCGUGCAGGAAGACGGCCCUACGGGUUGUAAACUGCUUUUGCAGGGGAAUAAACCUUGGUAUGUAUACCAGGCUGAAUGUACUCUGAGAAUAAGGAUCGGCUAACUCCGUGCCAGCAGCCGCG